GUGUGCGCUGGCUGCUUUGGCGGUAGAGAAAAUUGAAUCUUGCCGUUGUCCCGCAGUUGGCUCGUCGCCAUCUUGGCAGGCUGUGCAAGUUGGUUGCUCACUCAUCACUGCAAAACACCCGCCGAAUGCGGUACGAAGGCAAGAACGGUGGCACGUGCGUGCCGGAGCCGGAUCCACGGUACGGAGGCCGCUUUCCGUGGCCGUUCACGUGGACGUCGGGCGUCCGGCAGCCGCCCCUGAACCCGGGCGACAUGGCGAACCUGCACGAGCGCAUCAACCACCUGCGGCCGGUCUGGUUCGAAGGGUUCCAGCUGAACGUGACGAAGGGCUGCGGCGUGAACCGGACGCUGGGCGUGAGCUGGAACCUAAGCCACGUGACACCGAGCGGCUUCCGGUUCGGUGGACACUUCCAGCGCCGAUGCAGCGAUAGCGUGCUGACCACCCCACUUGUAGCGUUCGAUGUGAAUCCGACGACGCUCUGCACGAACCUGCUGCUGCUGUACCGGCCGGUCCGGUCGGUCGGACUCGAGCUAGCCCUGCAGCUUCGGCCGGGCGCGAAACCGUACGUGGACGAGGUGUCGCUGCAGUACACCGGGGCGAGCCGGACGUCCACCGUACGGUGCAGUACGCCCGACACCACGCUCGACUCGUACCGGGUCAGCCUGGACCAUCUGGUCAGCCUGAACGAUCGGCUCUGCUUCGGGGUGGAGCUGCUGUGCGAAUGCUACCGGGGCGCUCAGCACACGAGCGUGGCCUUUGCCGGACGUUACAACCGGGAAACGUCCACGCUGGCCGCCACCGUCUCGCCCGAAGCGUUCGAUUUGAGCUACUGGCAAAAAGUGUCCGGCACGCUGCAGCUGGGCUCGUCCAUGAUUGUGAACCAGCGGCAGAACCGGGCGCUCGGCACCGUCUGCUAUCGGCUCGAGCACGAGGACACGGUGAUCCGCGGUUCGUUCGACUCUGAUUGGACCGUCGGCUUCACGUACGGCAGAAAGCUUACGCCGGCCGCAUUCACCGCCCGGUUGAGUUUGUUGUUUUGCGUGCCGAAAAACACGUUCCAGUGUGGAUUUCGGAUUGAUUUGGAUUCUAAUUUGCUGUGAGUGUGCGGGACCGCUGUGCGGCGCCGACCGGUACGCGCCCUUUCCCGGAUCCGCUUGAUUUCGCGCAGCAGGCCACUACGGUCGGCAGCGGUUUGGCGGGGCUUUUGCGUGCGACCUCAAUAAGCGCUCGCGCGCGCGCGAUCGAUACGAACCGCAGAAGGGAAAGCGAAUCAACCUAAAAAACGGAAAAAGCACACAUGUGCUCAGAACAGUUGUGGGUUUCGGGUGACGGAUUGGCGCGGGAGACCGGGGCUGAAGGUGGAAAGCGACAGGUGAGCGCCACAAACAACGCACACACUUUUCAUUUUAUUUGGCCGAUGUUUAGGUGCAAAUGUGGUGAAGUAAUUUGAAGCUGAUUUCAAAUGGAUUUUUGGUGGAAUUGGACGUUUUUGCUGUGCCGGUGGAAUAGCGCGUGAUGAAAUAUUAAUCCCGCAAUGAUGAGGCCCUGCACGCAACUUAUCGAUCAGCGUGUACCACGAUCAUGUGCGAUAAUUGAUUGCAGUUUGUUCCGGCGGGCUGCAUUAGCUACGAUUGAUUAAAAUUGAAUAGAAAUGCAAUCCAAUUUAAGGGUGACAUCACUGGUGGAUGUUUUUUGUCUGUGUGUAUGUGCAUAUGUGUGCCCCAAUCUAUUGAUUUAAUGAACAGUUUUUGUUUCUGCCUUUAUGCGCGUUUUGUUGAAAUAUUUCGUUCACGAGUGCAAUUAAAAGGGUUCCCGCGCUCUAAUUCUCAAUCGAUUAGUGCCAUUUGGGUAACAAAAAAUGGGUAAUGAUGCAUCCAUCAAACGCAUGGUUAGGAGACGAUGAAAUUGACACUCAUCCUCUCGGAUUUGCAAUUGCGAAUUAUGAUAUGAACGGUUGGAUGAAAAUUAACUAUCGACACUGAAAGGUCUCUUCUAUCGGAUCUCGAACCAGUUAUGUUGGUAUUUUACGACGAACAAUGUGCCUCACAGCACUCAUCAACACAUCGCCAGUUGUACGCGAAACCAUGAUUUAUUUUUUAUCAGCUGUGAUUAAUUAAAUAUUUAUCUAAAUGCCGCUAAGCAAUGGA